rnacentral:lncRNA from 1 species
CCUGGGACCACUGACCCGCCCCACCCAUCCAGACGGCUGGUCUGCCAGACACGCUCCUUGCUGUUUGGGGUUUUAGACGUCACAGUCUGUACUGGAGUCUUCCGCCUGACAACCGGCUCAAGCCAUUUACAGCCAGAAGAGAUUCUGAAUGAAGCAUUUUCUCUAACUUCAUGGUACAGAGGAGGAACGGAAGAUGCAGGGGCGCAGGGACUUGGGAAGAGCAUCAUGAGUAUAACCCAAGACUCCGGGAAACAUCGGAUUCAUUUGACCAGCCAUCUUUGAUCUCAAAGCUGGCGAGGCAUGGAAGGACUGUUUGG